UCCAAAGAUUAGGGCCUAAUGAAUUUAUUUCAAUUGACUGAUUUCCUUAUAUGAACUGUAACUCUGUAAAAUCGUAGAAAUUGUUGCAUGUUGCGUUUCUAUUUUUGUUCACUAUAUUUGGCAUUUUUAACCUUGAAAAUUGACAUUUAAGUACGUAUUGGUGCAGCUUAAAGGUAGGACAAUAUAUCUGUAUCUUUGUAGCCUUUUUCAUCUGUCUGUUUGUAGAACAGAAAAGUCUGCAAUGAAGAACUGCUUUGACACAAAGUGCUUCGUAGGAUCUUCAUUUGUACCGAACAAGCUGAAUAAUAGCCAACCUACACUCUUAGAGAAAAAAGAACCCUUUUUUUCUAAGAGUGUACAUAAAUUACAGGCAUGUGUUGUUUUGUACGGAUACUCAUCCCUCAAAAUAAGUUGGCUUAUCUUGCAGUUUGUAUUGUCAAAAUGUUUUCUUUGACUAAUACGGUGUACUUGCACAGAGAGGAUGUCAACAUUGUUUUGUCAUGUAUUUUCUGGUACAAUGUGACAUGGUUGGAUUUUACUCUGUAAACCAUGGCUUUCGCCUUGUGUAUAUUGUCUUUAUAAAUGAUAAAUGCGUUGCUUUGUGAAAGAUCUUAUUUUCAAUGCUGCUCACAUUUCAGUAAGAUGUAAAGAGCUUCCCUCAUUGGAUGGAAUAGCCUCCCUAUGACUUUUGGUCAUAAAAAGAAAAUGUCUAAAAGUGAAGUAUGAAAUCAUGUUAUAUAUAUUAUCUGUAUACUUAGAAAAUGGUUGUCAAGUAAACAUUCAAAAGUAGUACAGACUUUGUAUAUGGAAAAAUAAAAAUGCUAUUGAAAAAAAUGCAAUAGUUUAUGUAAUUACUAGGCUACUGUAUAGUUUGUGCAACAUUGUGCCUCCUUGGAAUUCUGGAAAUAAAUAUUAUGUGAGUG